ACAACGGAUCAAAUUAUCCAGAAAUCAAAACCUAGUGUAACUGUUAAGUUUGUUUUUAUUCUAAAGUGAAAAAAAAAGUUCAGCAUCUGCCCAGGCUGGUUGUUUGUAUUACAGAAACAGUUAAAGCAAACAGAGCAACAUCGGUGAUACAGGAUCGAUAUUUGUCAAUGUAUGAACCGUUGAUGGACAGGCAGCUUGUUUGCAAAAACCUCAUCAUUGACGGAGAAUUUAUCAGUCAUGAUGAAAGAGAAAAAUGCAACAUAGGCAAGUUUAUUGACAAAAAUACCAUUGAAUUGCAUGACA